rnacentral:rRNA from 1 species
GUCCAUGCCGUAAACGUUGGGAACUAGAUGUAGGGACCAUUCCACGGUUUCUGUGUCGCAGCUAACGCAUUAAGUUCCCCGCCUGGGGGAGUACGGCCGCAAGGCUAAAACUCAAAGGAAUUGACGGGGGCCCGCACAAGCGGCGGAGCAUGCGGAUUAAUUCGAUGCAACGCGAAGAACCUUACCAAGGCUUGACAUAUACCGGAAAAGUUCAGAAAUGUUCUCCCCGCAAGGUCGGUAUACAGGUGGUGCAUGGUUGUCGU